UACGGAGGGAGCUAGCGUUGUUCGGAAUUACUGGGCGUAAAGCGCGCGUAGGCGGCUUUGUAAGUCAGAGGUGAAAUCCCGGGGCUCAACUCCGGAACUGCCUUUGAAACUGCAUCGCUUGAAUCCGGGAGAGGUGAGUGGAAUUCCGAGUGUAGAGGUGAAAUUCGUAGAUAUUCGGAAGAACACCAGUGGCGAAGGCGGCUCACUGGACCGGCAUUGACGCUGAGGUGCGAAAGCGUGGGGAGCAAACAGG
rnacentral:rRNA from 2 species